rnacentral:ncRNA from 1 species
AUUAAGGGGAGCCUUUGGCUGAGAGGAAUUGAUAUUCGACCCUUGACCUGAUCUAGGUAAUGCUAGCGUAGGGAAUAAUGUG